rnacentral:rRNA from 1 species
AACAGGAUUAGAUACCCUGGUAGUCCACGCUGUAAACGAUGUCGACUUGGAGGUUGUGCCCUUGAGGCGUGGCUUCCGGAGCUAACGCGUUAAGUCGACCGCCUGGGGAGUACGGCCGCAAGGUUAAAACUCAAAUGAAUUGACGGGGGCCCGCACAAGCGGUGGAGCAUGUGGUUUAAUUCGAUGCAACGCGAAGAACCUUACCUACUCUUGACAUCCAGAGAAUUUGCUAGAGAUAGCUUAGUGCCUUCGGGAACUCUGAGACAGGUGCUGCAUGGCUGUCGUCAGCUCGUGUUGUGAAAUGUUGGGUUAAGUCCCGCAACGAGCGCAACCCUUAUCCUUUGUUGCCAGCGGUCCGGCCGGGAACUCAAAGGAGACUGCCAGUGAUAAACUGGAGGAAGGUGGGGAUGACGUCAAGUCAUCAUGGCCCUUACGAGUAGGGCUACACACGUGCUACAAUGGCGCAUACAAAGAGAAGCGACCUCGCGAGAGCAAGCGGACCUCAUAAAGUGCGUCGUAGUCCGGAUUGGAGUCUGCAACUCGACUCCAUGAAGUCGGAAUCGCUAGUAAUCGUGGAUCAGAAUGCCACGGUGAAUACGUUCCCGGGCCUUGUACACACCGCCCGUCACACCAUGGGAGUGGGUUGCAAAAGAAGUAGGUAGCUUAACCUUCGGGAGGGCGCUUACCACUUUGUGAUUCAUGACUGGGGUGAAGUCGUAACAAGGUAACC